ensembl:processed_transcript Snhg5 small nucleolar RNA host gene 5
CCAGUGAGAAAACUAGAUGUGACCAUCCAGAAAAAGCAUAGACAAAAAAAUGCAGUCUUAGUACUGGGAUGUUUGAGAUGGGGUCUAUCUACAUGUCUCUAGCUGUCCCUAUCAGGACAGCAUCUGGUGUGGCCUGCAGAGUUGAUUCCUGUACUUUUUUUUUUCUGUGGGCUGUAUGUAAAUGGAUUGUUUUGACAAUCCAUUCGACAGUGUUCUCUUCUGUGAAGGUCAUAGGUGAGCUGAUUGACAGACACAGCUGUACAGACUGAAUGCAAUCCUGACUAUAAAGCUGCAGUUCAUCAUUAUGAGCUAUUUCCUUAUUCUGGCAGUGAUUGAAAUAAAAUGGGGAGUAUUGAAAUAAAAAACAUUCAAUU